UACGAAGGGGGCUAGCGUUGCUCGGAAUCACUGGGCGUAAAGGGCGCGUAGGCGGGAUGGCAAGUCGGUCGUGAAAUCCCUCGGCUCAACCGAGGAACGUCGAUCGAUACUGCUGUUCUUGAGGAUUGCAGAGGAGACUGGAAUUCCCGGUGUAGCGGUGAAAUGUGUAGAGAUCGGGAGGAACACCGGUGGCGAAGGCGGCAUCCUGGACCGGUAUUGACGCUGAGGCGCGAAAGCUAGGGGAGCAAACGGG
rnacentral:rRNA from 1 species